AUGGAGCCCCUGACGACACCGCAUGGGGGCAAGCUGCCGGCCAUGACGGCAUCAAGUGCGGACGGGCAGAUAUGUGCGGCAGAGGUGGUGGCAGAGGCAGCGAUUCGAGAACCGACUCAGGCGUCCAAGCAUUCUAUAGAGCAGACCGCCCAAAAACGGUCAGGAUUGGGGCUGCUGAGCCUGGCAAGGCACCGCCCUAAUAGGAUUUCAGCAAUGGAGAAAUCAACACGCGGUUUUGCUGAAAACACUGGAGACUAUGUCAUUGUGCCGAAAUUAGGAACCAACUUUCAUACAUUGGGUGAAGCCUAUGAUUUUUACAAUCUGUAUUCGUGGAAGAAAGGAUGGGCAUUAGGUACGGAGAGAGGAGACUAA
rnacentral:rRNA from 1 species